CUUCGAACGAAGAUUGUCGCCACUUCGGGAGCACAUCUAUCCAAGUUUCUCCUGUUGAUAUAUUGGAAGCGAGGUAACUAUAUACACUGGGGUUUAAGCAUUGCUAUGUAUUGUCUUUUAAUCUCAAUACUAAUGAGGAGUUGAACAAUUUUUGCUAUUGUUUACUGCAUAUUCAAAGAAGUUUAUGCUAUGGUUAACUUCAACAAUAGAUUAUAUCAAUAUUAUUAUAUUUGAUUGUGUCAGAUACUUAGGCUCCAAUAAGUUAAAAGCCUCCCAAUUAUGUGUAUAAAUACAAGGUUCAGUAAUGGUCUCCCUCGAAUGAGCUAUUUCAGUUAUAAAAUUGCAUUUCAAAUUUAAUGAGAUACUUGUAUGCACUGGGAUUUAAGGUUUGCUAUGUUUUAUGUUUUAAUCUCAAUACUACCGAAGGGUUGAUCAAAUUUUGUACUUAUCAAUUGAAAUUUGAAUUGUGCUAUUUUUAGGCAGUAGUAUAUUUGUUUAAUUUUUUCGAUCUUGGUUUUUGCUUCCAAAUUAUGCUUUUUGAUCUAUUUUGUUCUUGUCUUCUUUAUGUCAUUCUAAGCAGUUAGCCGGUGUGGGACUGAAAUUGUGUGGGAUUGUUCUUGUCUUGUUUAUGUCAUUCUAGGUACUGGGAUUAUUCUUGUCCUCCAAAUUAAUUUGAACAUUGCAGUUACUUAACUUAACUGUGUUCUAUCGUUUGUUUUCAUUGUAGAACGGGAGGGAGGAAUAUUGGGAUAUGUCAUAAUUGCUGAGCUAAAGAUCACUUCUUCUCUGGUUGCCCACAAAAAGGCCAAUGCCUAAAGUGCAAAAAUGGAUUCGAGAAGUGUUUUGUAGUGGAGAAGGAAACAGUGAAUAAAAGGCAACUAUUUUUUUGUUGCAGUGAAAAAUGUGGGUUUUGGGACUGGGUUGUGAAAGAACAAUCAAGUGGUCAUUUAUGUGGUGACACCGC
rnacentral:lncRNA from 1 species